UACGUAGGGGGCAAGCGUUGUCCGGAAUUAUUGGGCGUAAAGAGCGUGUAGGCGGUUAGGUAGGUCCGUUGUGAAAACUCGAGGCUCAACCUCGAGACGCCGAUGGAAACCAUCUGACUAGAGUCCGGAAGAGGAGAGUGGAAUUCCUGGUGUAGCGGUGAAAUGCGCAGAUAUCAGGAGGAACACCAAUGGCGAAGGCAGCUCGCUGGGACGUGACUGACGCUGAGACGCGAAAGCGUGGGGAGCAAACAGG
rnacentral:rRNA from 1 species